AAAUUCUCAUAUUUUUCCC
rnacentral:snRNA from 1 species